AAUGAAAUAUCCAGUACAGGCAAACCAUAGAAAUAGAAGGCCAAUUACUGGUUGAAAGGGGCUGAGGGAAGAGAAUGGGGGUAACUGCUUAAUAGCCAUAGGGCUUCAUUUGGGAUGAUGAGAAAGUUCUGGAACCAGCUAGUGGUGAUGGUUGUACAACAUCGUUAAUGUACUUAAUGACACUGAAUUGUGUAUUUCGUGGUUAAAAUGAUAAACUUUAUGUGAUGUGUAUUUUACCAUAAUAAAAAGGUUAAUCUGAAGCCAGAUGCGGACACCUAUAAUCCCAGUGGCUCAGGAGGCUGAGGCAGGAGGAUCAUGGGUUCAAAGCCAGCUUCAGCAAAAGCAAGGCACUAAACAACUCAGUGAGACCCUGUGUCUAAAUAAAAUACAGAAUAUGGAGAUAUGGCUCAGAGGUCAAGUGCUCCUGAGUUCAAUCCCCAGUACCAAAAAAAAAGUUAUUCUGUCACCACAUCAGAUGAGCUACUCCAGGGGUAAUGGGCAGCAUAAGAUUAGUGGAUUCUUAUUAUGAGCAUGAACCCAUUGCUGCUUUAUUUACAGUAAAAAAAUUAUAUUCUGGGUUUAAAUAAAUACUGUGUACAAAGCAGGAUGGUGACUAAAGUGAUGUGUAACCAUAUGGUUUUCAGAGAAGCAUUUUAGACAAGGAAGGAAAUUGAUUUCCAGAAGUGUCUAUAAGAAAACUAGGGCUGGGUAUGAGUGGCCAAAUGUAAUGUGCCUGAUAACUGAGGGAUGCCUCCGGGGAAUAGUGAUUUAUUUUUUGGUCUCUGCUGUUGGCAAGUUAGGCACUCAGUGAUAGCUGUUGACCUUUUUUGAGUGAAAAUUCAUCUACUGAGCUCAUGUAAAAACCUUCAUCCUGCCACUAAAGCCACUUUCUUUAUGAAUCCAUUAGGCAAGGAUAAGAAUAGACGGGGAGAAGG
rnacentral:lncRNA from 1 species